UACGGGGGGGAGCAAGCGUUGUUCGGAUUUACUGGGCGUAAAGGGCGCGUAGGCGGUCGUGACAAGUCACUUGUGAAAUCUCCGGGCUUAACUCGGAACGGUCAAGUGAUACUGUCGGACUAGAGUACAGAAGGGGCAACUGGAAUUCUCGGUGUAGCGGUGAAAUGCGUAGAUAUCGAGAGGAACACCUGCGGUGAAGGCGGGUUGCUGGGCUGAUACUGACGCUGAGGCGCGAAAGCUAGGGGAGCGAACGGG
rnacentral:rRNA from 1 species